CAGCAGCCGCGGGAAUACAGAGGGUGCGAGCGUUAAUCGGAUUUACUGGGCGUAAAGCGUGCGUAGGCGGCUUCUUAAGUCGGAUGUGAAAUCCCUGAGCUUAACUUAGGAAUUGCAUUCGAUACUGGGAAGCUAGAGUAUGGGAGAGGAUGGUAGAAUUCCAGGUGUAGCGGUGAAAUGCGUAGAGAUCUGGAGGAAUACCGAUGGCGAAGGCAGCCAUCUGGCCUAAUACUGACGCUGAGGUACGAAAGCAUGGGGAGCAAACAGGAUUAGAUACCCGGGUAGUCCCUGUCUCUUAUAU
rnacentral:rRNA from 1 species